CCUACGCUGUGCUGCAGUGAGGAAUAUUGGUCAAUGGGCGCGAGCCUGAACCAGCCAAGUAGCGUGAAGGAUGACUGCCCUACGGGUUGUAAACUUCUUUUAUAAAGGAAUAAAGUGAGGCACGUGUGCCUGUUUGUAUGUACUUUAUGAAUAAGGAGCGGCUAACUCCGUGCCAGCAGCCGCGGUAAUACGGAGGAUCCGAGCGUUAUCCGGAUUUAUUGGGUUUAAAGGGAGCGUAGAUGGGUUGUUAAGUCAGUUGUGAAAGUUUGCGGCUCAACCGUAAAAUUGCAAUUGAUACUGGCAGCCUUGAGUACAGUUGAGGUAGGCGGAAUUCGUGGUGUAGCGGUGAAAUGCUUAGAUAUCACGAAGAACUCCGAUUGCGAAGGCAGCUUACUAAACUGCCACUGACAUUGAUGCUCGAAAGUGUGGGUAUCAAACAGGAUUAGAUACCCCGGUAGUC
rnacentral:rRNA from 1 species